rnacentral:lncRNA from 1 species
CCCAAGUAAUCAACGUGGAUUCUCCUCCACCUUACAACCAAUCCGGUCCUUUCUUGCCUCAGCUAUGUAAUCCUUGGUCGCCUUCCGAUGAGUGUCAAUCCAAUCACGUCACCAUCUCCAACGCUUCAGAGGUACGUACGUAAGUAAGAAUUUAAGAUAUUCAUGCAUCAUCAGAUGAGUUAAUUAAUGAUACUAUCUAUCAUCUAUCUAUCUAGGUGUGGUCGGGUUACAUCUGUAAAGAUGUUUCGACGGAAAUAUGUACCUCCUUCGGCCGAAUAACGCCAGAUAUAUACAACCAGUUAAGUGCUUCCGUCGACGUAUGCUCCGGUUUGUACAAUUACGGCCCUUUUCUAGCGAAUCUCGUGGAUUG